rnacentral:rRNA from 1 species
UACGUAGGGUGCAAGCGUUAAUCGGAAUCACUGGGCGUAAAGCGCACGUAGGCGGAUUGUUAAGUCAGGGGUGAAAUCCUGGAGCUCAACUCCAGAACUGCCUUUGAUACUGGCGAUCUCGAGUCCGGGAGAGGUGAGUGGAACUGCGAGUGUAGAGGUGAAAUUCGUAGAUAUUCGCAAGAACACCAGUGGCGAAGGCGGCUCACUGGCCCGGUACUGACGCUGAGGUGCGAAAGCGUGGGGAGCAAACAGG